GAUGAACGCUGGCGGCGUGCCUAAUACAUGCAAGUCGAGCGAAUGGAUUGAGAGCUUGCUCUUAUGAAGUUAGCGGCGGACGGGUGAGUAACACGUGGGUAACCUGCCCAUAAGACUGGGAUAACUCCGGGAAACCGGGGCUAAAACCGGAUAACAUUUUGAACCGCACGGUUCGAAAUUGAAAGGCGGCUUCGGCUGUCACUUAUGGAUGGACCCGCGUCGCAUUAGCUAGUUGGUGAGGUAACGGCUCACCAAGGCAACGAUGCGUAGCCGACCUGAGAGGGUGAUCGGCCACACUGGGACUGAGACACGGCCCAGACUCCUACGGGAGGCAGCAGUAGGGAAUCUUCCGCAAUGGACGAAAGUCUGACGGAGCAACGCCGCGUGAGUGAUGAAGGCUUUCGGGUCGUAAAACUCUGUUGUUAGGGAAGAACAAGUGCUAGUUGAAUAAGCUGGCACCUUGACGGUACCUAACCAGAAAGCCACGGCUAACUACGUGCCAGCCGCCGCCGUAA
rnacentral:rRNA from 1 species